rnacentral:rRNA from 1 species
CCCUUAGAUGCUCUGGGCCGCACGCGCGCUACACUGGUCGAUGCAACGAGUUUCUUUCCUUGGCCGGCAGGCCUGGGCAAUCUUUGAACAUCGAUCGUGAUCGGGAUAGAUUCUUGUAAUUUUUGAUCUUAAACGAGGAAUUCCUAGUAAACGCAAGUCAUCAGCUUGCAUUGAUUACGUCCCUGCCCUUUGUACACACCGCCCGUCGCACCUACCGAUUGAAUGGUCCGGUGAAAUCUCCGGACUGGCGUGAGUCGGAGCAAUCUGACAAACACCGGAAAGUUGAUUAAACCUUACCAUUUAGAGGAAGGUGAAGUCGUAACA